ACAAGGUGGUGUUUGUUACACGGGAUUGGACUGGAUUGGACAUUCUUAUCUAGUCCAAUCCCAGUUAUCCCAUGUUUGGCAGCAAGGGGACUCUUUUUAAUGAGACUCCACAGUCCCAAAAACCACCCCGACACCGUCUACCACAAACCCACCAAAAACCAUGGGAUUGUGGAAGCCACUCUCACUCGAUCUACUCUUCCCUUCUGAUGAGGUCACCGUUCGGAGCUAUGCUGGUUUCGCAGCUUCUGCUGCUUUUGGGUACUGGCAUUGUUGCUGGGCAGAGCCAUUUUCAGUACGGCCAUCUCAGACCCAUAAUACCACUCACUCUGGUGCAGUGUUGGGUGUAAAGAGAAGAAAAAGAGAGCGCGAUUUUCAGGAAAGGAAAAAAAGAAAAGAGAGCAAUUAAAAGCAAAAGGUGGGUUCUUGAAAAGAAAAGAGAAGCAAAAGGUGGGUUCGAAAAGAAAAGAGAGCAAUUAAAAGCAAAAGGUUGGAAGGUGUGUGCUCAAGUGCUUUGUGUGUUUUCUUCUGGCAAUUAUUUUUGUUGUUUGCAUUGACAGAGAGAGAAGAGAGAGUGUAUAGAAUACAAUGCAAUGGGGUUUGUGUCUGGGUGUUGAAGGUUUUGCAGGUUGGUGGUUUUGCAGGUUGGUUCUAUAUUUAAUCCCGCUGGCACCAAACAUGGGUCAAGGAACUCUAUAGCAUAACCUGGCUUGAAGAGUGGAGGACUCUAAAAGAAAUUAAGCCGGGGUAACACAAUCCCCCCUAACAAAC